rnacentral:rRNA from 1 species
AUUGAACGCUGGCGGAAUGCUUUACACAUGCAAGUCGAACGGCAGCACGGACUUCGGUCUGGUGGCGAGUGGCGAACGGGUGAGUAAUGUAUCGGAACGUGCCCAGUCGUGGGGGAUAACGUAGUGAAAAUUACGCUAAUACCGCAUACGAUCUAUGGAUGAAAGCGGGGGAUCGCAAGACCCCGCGCGAUUGGAGCGGCCGAUAUCAGAUUAGGUAGUUGGUGGGGUAAAGGCCCACCAAGCCAACGAUCUGUAGCUGGUCUGAGAGGACGACCAGCCACGCUGGAACUGAGACACGGUCCAGACUCCUACGGGAGGCAGCAGUGGGGAAUUUCGGACAAUGGGCGAAAGCCUGAUCCAGCCAUUCCGCGUGCAGGAUGAAGGCCCUCGGGUUGUAAACUGCUUUUGUACAGAACGAAAAGGUUUCUACUAAUACUAGGAGCUCAUGACGGUACUGUAAGAAUAAGCACCGGCUAACUACGUGCCAGCAGCCGCCGUAA